GAAUGCAAUCAAUAUAUAUAAUAAAAAGUGAAGAAAUUCAACCAAGCGCGGGUAAACGGCGGGAGUAACUAUGACUCUCUUAAGGUAGCCAAAUGCCUCGUCAUCUAAUUAGUGAUGCACAUGAAUGGAU
rnacentral:ncRNA from 1 species